AUGGCUGUCGUCAGCUCGUGCCGUGAGGUGUCAGGUUAAGUCCUAUAACGAGCGCAACCCCUAUUCUUAGUUGCCAGCGGUUCGGCCGGGGACUCUAAGAAAACUGCCAGUGCAAGCUGUGAGGAAGGUGGGGAUGACGUCAAAUCAUCACGGCCCUUACGACCUGGGCCACACACGUGCUACAAUGGUAGGUACAAAGAGCAGCCACUUGGCGACAAGGAGCUAAUCUCAAAAACCUAUCUCAGUUCGGAUUGGAGUCUGAAACUCGACUCUAUGAAGCUGGAAUCGCUAGUAAUCGCGCAUCAGCCAUGGCGCGGUGAAUACGUUCCCGGGCCUUGUACACACCGCCCGUCAAGCCAUGGAAGCUGGGGGUGCCUGAAGUCGGUAACCGUAAGGAGCUGCCUAGGGUAAAACUAGUGACUGGGGCUAAGUCGUAACAAGGUAGCCGUACCGGAAGGUGCGGCUGGAACACCUCCUUUUUAGAGGAAUACGUUUCGUGUUUAGUGCAUUCAUCUUUAUGAAUGCUGUUUUCCUAUACUCAAUUAUAUUUAAUGUGAGCAACUAAGGAUUUUUUCCAUAGUCCCGUAGCUCAGUUGGUUAGAGCACUACACUGAUAAUGUAGGGGUCAGCAGUUCAAAUCUGCUCGGGACUACAAUUUUUAGUGUGUUUAACAACAAACAUUAAAAGUCUUUUAAUUCUAUUUUCUUUUUUAGUUUUUAUAAAAAGAUAAAUAGGAUAAAGUUCUUUGACAUAUUGGAAUUGAUUGAAGUAAUAAUAAACAAUUAGAGUAAAAACUAGAGUUAGAUAAGUUACUAAGGGCACACGGGGAAUGCCUAGGCUCUGAGAGGCGAAGAAGGACGUGAUAAGCUGCGAAAAGGUACGGGGAGAAGCAAAUAUUUAUUGAUCCGUACAUAUCCGAAUGGGGAAACCCGG
rnacentral:sRNA from 1 species